GGUGGCUCAGUGGUAGAGUGCUUGCCUUGCAUGCAGGAGGCCCUGGGUUUGAUUCCCCAGCACACCA
rnacentral:tRNA from 1 species